rfam:Haemonchus placei strain MHpl1 genome assembly, scaffold: HPLM_scaffold0005609
GGCACAAACUUGAAGUAAAGUACUUUAGUAGGUUUGGACAAUCUUACUGACGUAGUUUACUUCGAAUUUGGGCCC